AAGUCGUAACAAGGUUUCCGUAGGUGAACCUGCGGAAGGAUCAUUAACACGUAUCCACGUAUCAACCAAACGGCAACUGUACCUCCCUGGUAAUUGUUGAGCUGUUGACCCGAGUCAUGGUGGGUAUGCAUUCGUGCAUACGACUCGGGUAGACUAGGGCUUCGAGCCCAAGGCACAACGCUUUAUCAGGCUUUUCUUUCCCAUCAUAUAUACCUUUCUACCUUAAGGUACGAUGGGAAUCUAACCAACCUAUUUCACCCUACUUAUAAACAGGCUGAGUGGGUAAAAUCCUCGGCUUAUCAAUAUAACUAUUACAACUUUCAGCAAUGGAUCUCUAGGCUCUC
rnacentral:misc_RNA from 1 species